rnacentral:rRNA from 1 species
CUUUCCCUCUGUCGGCAGGCCUAACACAUGCAAGUCGAACGGUAACAGGAAGAAGCUUGCUUCUUUGCUGACGAGUGGCGGACGGGUGAGUAAUGUCUGGGAAACUGCCUGAUGGAGGGGGAUAACUACUGGAAACGGUAGCUAAUACCGCAUAACGUCGCAAGACCAAAGAGGGGGACCUGCGGGCCUCUUGCCAUCGGAUGUGCCCAGAUGGGAUUAGCUAGUAGGUGGGGUAACGGCUCACCUAGGCGACGAUCCCUAGCUGGUCUGAGAGGAUGACCAGCCACACUGGAACUGAGACACGGUCCAGACUCCUACGGGAGGCAGCAGUGGGGAAUAUUGCACAAUGGGCGCAAGCCUGAUGCAGCCAUGCCGCGUGUAUGAAGAAGGCCUUCGGGUUGUAAAGUACUUUCAGCGGGGAGGAAGGGAGUAAAGUUAAUACCUUUGCUCAUUGACGUUACCCGCAGAAGAAGCACCGGCUAACUCCGUG